rnacentral:rRNA from 1 species
UACAGGGGGCUCGAGCGUUAGUCGGAAUCACUGGGCUUAAAGGGUGCGUAGGCGGCCCGCCAAGUGCUUUGUGAAAUCCCCGAGCUCAACUCGGGAACAGCAGGGCAAACUGGCGGGCUUGAAGCAGGUAGGGGCUGGAAGAACAGUUGGUGGAGCGGUGAAAUGCGUAGAUAUCAACUGGAAUGCCGAUGGGGAAGCCGUCCAGCUGGGCCUGUCUUGACGCUGAGGCACGAAAGCGUGGGGAGCGAACAGG